CCCUUAGACGUUCUGGGCCGCACGCGCGCUACACUGACGAAGGCAACGAGCUCUCCUUUACCGAAAGGUACGGGUAAUCUUUUGAAACUUCGUCGUGCUGGGGAUAGAUCCUUGCAAUUUUUGAUCUUAAACGAGGAAUGCCUAGUAAGCGCAAGUCAUCAACUUGCGUUGAUUACGUCCCUGCCCUUUGUACACACCGCCCGUCGCUACUACCGAUUGAAUGGUUUAGUGAGGCCUUCGGAUCCGCGACUCGUUUGUGGAGAAGUUGGACAAACUCAGUCAUUUAGAGGAAGUAAAAGUCGUAACA
rnacentral:rRNA from 1 species